rnacentral:snoRNA from 1 species
UUCAGUGAGAGACCCUGUUUCAGAAAAUAAGAUGGAGAGUUCAAAGGACAGUGUGAUUAAAAAAUCAGUACCUGGCAUUGUUGGUGUUCUUGGCUUUGUGCAUGUAAACCUCUUUUUUUGUUUCUUUG